UACGGAGGGUGCAAGCGUUGUCCGGAUUUAUUGGGUUUAAAGGGUGCGUAGGCGGCAGAUUAAGUCAGCGGUGAAAUUCCACAGCUCAACUGUGGAACUGCCAUUGAUACUGGUUUGCUUGAGUACAGAUGAGGUAGGCGGAAUUGACAGUGUAGCGGUGAAAUGCUUAGAUAUUGUCAAGAACACCUAUUGCGAAGGCAGCUUACUAAGCUGUAACUGACGCUGAGGCGCGAAAGCGUGGGGAGCAAACAGG
rnacentral:rRNA from 1 species